GGUCCUAUAGCUCAGUUGGUUAGAGCAGCGGACUCAUAAUCCGUUGGUCCUAGGUUCAAGCCCUAGUGGGACCA
rnacentral:tRNA from 1 species